rnacentral:pre_miRNA from 1 species
CUUAUACUCCCUCCGUCCCAAAAUUCUUAUCUUAUAUUUGUCUAGAUAUGAAUGUAUCUAGUCACGUUUUAGUAUUUAGAUACAUUCAUUUCUAGAUAAACCUUAAGACAAGAAUUUUGGUACAGAGGGGGUAUUUA